rnacentral:rRNA from 1 species
CCUACGGGAGGCUGCAGUGAGGAAUAUUGGUCAAUGGUCGGGAGACUGAACCAGCCAAGCCGCGUGAGGGAUGAAGGUACAGAGUAUCGUAAACCUCUUUUGUCAGGGAACAAAGGCGGGGACGUGUCCCCGGAUGAGUGUACCUGAAGAAAAAGCAUCGGCUAACUCCGUGCCAGCAGCCGCGGUAAUACGGAGGAUGCGAGCGUUAUCCGGAUUUAUUGGGUUUAAAGGGUGCGCAGGCGGUCUGUUAAGUCAGCGGUCAAAGCCCGGGGCUCAACCCCGGCCCGCCGUUGAAACUGGCAGUCGCGAGUUGGAGAGAAGUAUGCGGAAUGCGCGGUGUAGCGGUGAAAUGCAUAGAUAUCGCGCAGAACUCCGAUUGUGAAGGCAGCAUGCCGGCUCCACACUGACGCUGAGGCACGAAAGCGUGGGUAUCGAACAGGAUUAGAUACCCUUGUAGUC